AUUGAACGCUGGCGGCAGGCCUAACACAUGCAAGUCGAACGAGUGGCGGACGGGUGAGUAAUGUCUGGGAAACUGCCUGAUGGAGGGGGAUAACUACUGGAAACGGUAGCUAAUAACGCAUACCAUCGGAUGUGCCCAGAUGGGAUUAGCGUGUAGGUGGGGUAAGGGCUCACCAAGGCGACGAUCCCUAGCUGGUCUGAGAGGAUGACCGGCCACACUGGAACUGAGACACGGUCCAGACUCCUACGGGAGGCAGCAGUGGGGAAUAUUGCACAAUGGGCGCAAGUCUGAUGCAGCCAUGCCGCGUGUAUGAAGAAGGCCUUCGGGUUGUAAAGUACUUUCAGCGGGGAGGCGUUACCCGAAGAAGAAGCACCGGCUAACUCCGUGCCAGCAGCCGCGGUAAUUC
rnacentral:rRNA from 1 species